GAUUUUUCAUUGUAGUGAAUGAGCCAAGCACCAAGGAGCUCUCUUGAAACCAACGUUACAUGCUCCUAUGGGUCUCAGUGAGAAUGUACCUUCACAAUGCAGGAAAAAAAAAAGUGCCAUAUACCAUAUCCUUUCCUCUCAAUCUUUCAGGGACACAAAAGCUAUUAACAAGUGCUCUGGAGGAAAGCACCACUACUGAACUGUGACUCAUUGUUUUGUCCGGUGGGUUAUUUUUCAAAGUAUUGGUUGGAGGAGAAGUAAGGAUUACUGCGUGUGAUGCUUGCUGGGAAUUACCUCUCAAGAUAUGACAAGACUGCCAAAAAUGGGAACUUACAGACCUGCCCUAACCAAGGGAGAAGGAAGCGUCAGGCAGAGCUGUGUGAUGGAACCCUGUCUCACUGUGCCCAGGCUGGGUGUAUCCUGUCUGAUGGGCGCUCUGAUGUUUUGUUGUGCUGGCCCAUAUUAUGAGUAGUGUAGCUGAAGUCUG
rnacentral:lncRNA from 1 species